CUCACCUUAACUUCAGACACCCUUCGAGGCUGAGUAUUAAACUUACUGUAUUUCAGCAAAUCAAAUUAUGAGGGCCUGUUUUUAGGUUUCUGCAAUCUCAGCCCUUCAACUAAAGCAGAGGAGGCUCUCUUUUAGGACAGACUUAGAAACUUUUACAUUCUUUAUGUGAGAUUGGGGCUGGGAAAUUGAAUCUUUGAGCUCCUUCUUUUCCUUUAUAAUUUAUCCACGGUUAGAAGACUUUACGUUUCCUAUGCUUGUUUUUCCUUGGACUUGCUGUCAACGUUGCAAAAGGGAAAUCCACCAUGUCUAACUUUGGUUUAAAACAUACCAGUAGGUUGGUGAAGGGGAACUUGUCCACAGAGCCCCCUAGCAAAAAGAAACAUAAAAUUAAGUGUUCUAUUUUCAGAAAUAUAAUUCAGGCAGCCUCCUAAAAGACAAAUUAUCAUAUAUCCUACAUAGUAGUGGAGGGAAAUAAUUAUAAUAAAAAUUUAGUACAGUAUUUAGCUGAAAUUCAAAUUAUAAGGCAGUGCUAAUGCAAUUACACUGAGAUUGUACAUAGAAUUAUGUUUUUUAUGAAAUUAAUAGGUGACUUUGAAUUCAAAAACUACAGCAAUGGACAUGUCUCACCAGUGAAUUUUGUGAGUGCUAAAGUAGCUGUGAGCUAAGUUAAUGCCCACUGUGACACGGACCUCACUUAACUGAAGCUCAGAGCAGGCACUGCCUGCCUAAUCCUGGAGAUUUUCUCUGGCCGAGCUUUGCUUAUGGCUAUGAGAUGGGCAUACAAAACUUUUGGCAAGCACUUCUGAACGAGAUAUCUAUCUAUUUCACCAGUUUUAGAAAAAAGUCAACGCUAUAUGAUUUCCUUAAAAGUAAAAUUAGGAGUGUGUUGGAAGUUAGUACACUUUUGACUUCACAAGAUUUUCUAGAAUCCUGGAUUUUUCAGAAUCAGUGGGUGGCAAUCAUCCUUAUAGUUUUUCUAAUCGUUACCUUUGAGGUAAUACUCACAAAAGUGUGGACAUACUUUCAGAAAAAGACUGUGCCUCCAAAAAAGGAAUGCUCAUGUUCAUUUUCCCAGAAGAAUGAAGACAGUCACCAGGAAAGGACAAAAUUUGGUAAAUACCAGUUUCAUAUUUUAAUGUGA
rnacentral:lncRNA from 1 species